UGGGGAAUUUUGGACAAUGGGCGAAAGCCUGAUCCAGCAAUGCCGCGUGUGUGAAGAAGGCCUUCGGGUUGUAAAGCACUUUUGUCCGGAAAGAAAUCCUUGGCUCUAAUACAGUCGGGGGAUGACGGUACCGGAAGAAUAAGCACCGGCUAACUACGUGCCAGCAGCCGCGGUAAUACGUAGGGUGCAAGCGUUAAUCGGAAUUACUGGGCGUAAAGCGUGCGCAGGCGGUUUGCUAAGACCGAUGUGAAAUCCCCGGGCUCAACCUGGGAACUGCAUUGGUGACUGGCAGGCUAGAGUAUGGCAGAGGGGGGUAGAAUUCCACGUGUAGCAGUGGAAUGCGUAGAGAUGUGGAGGAAUACCGAUGGCGAAGGCAGCCCCCUGGGCCAAUACUGACGCUCAUGCACGAAAGCGUGGGGAGCAAAACAGGAUUAGAUACCCUGGUAGUCCACGCCCUAAACGAUGUCAACUAGUUGUUGGGGAUUCAUUUCCUUAGUAACGUAGCUAACGCGUGAAGUUGACCGCCUGGGGAGUACGGUCGCAAGAUUAAAACUCAAAUGAAUUGACGGGGUCAUAGCUGUUUCCU
rnacentral:rRNA from 1 species